UACGUAGGGUGCAAGCGUUAUCCGGAUUCACUGGGUUUAAAGGGUGCGUAGGCGGCUAGGUAAGUCCGUGGUGAAAUCCUGCAGCUUAACUGCAGAACUGCCGUGGAUACUAUCUAUCUUGAAUGUCGUGGAGGUUAGCAGAAUAUGUCAUGUAGCGGUGAAAUGCUUAGAUAUGACAUAGAAUACCCAUUGCGAAGGCAGCUAACUACGCGAUAAUUGACGCUGAUGCACGAAAGCGUGGGGAUCAAACAGG
rnacentral:rRNA from 1 species